UAAAGUUUCCUCCUCCACUAUCGAGUCACUUAGCACACACUGGGGCGAUCUUCGAUUCCACACUGCUACCCACCGCGCACUUUUAUUUUUAUUUCUAUUUUUCCCUUCUUUCUUCCCCUACCCACCCUCUUUCUUCUCACUCCUUUCUUUCUGUAUUCCUUCUCUUUCUCCGUAUAUCUUUCUGCUGUUCCGCACUAUCCUUCCUCGUAUUUCACCGAACACGCAACCAAAUCAAACACGUAUGUAGUACACGUAGUGUCGCUACUAUAUUACCCGUAUCGCAUCGCAAAGACGAAUGCCCCUAAAUAGUGUAUCUGGAUUAACACAAAGUUAAGCACAUGUCACGGCCGACGAGGCGAGAGUAUUAGUUGCUACGUCGUUCGUUUAUACGAUAGCAGUUAAACGAACGGAAAAGUUGUCGCGCGCACUUUGCUUCGAUUCAACACGUCCCUCGGCCGUGAUCUCUCGAAAACAGAUCGUCGUUCUUUCUCUUCGCACUUUGCCGCUUCUUUCUCGGUUACUCGUUCCGUCGGCUUCGAACGAGCGUACGCGACACAACCGGCUAUUUGUUUUUAGAAAAAGGCGUGGUUACGGUUACGGUCGGCUGUGUGUUACGUUUCCGACUGCGAUUGCGCGGCGUGUGAAUACGACGUAUGAUGCGCGCUGUCUGAAGUUCGCUGAAGGAAUGGCCGCUCCGCGAUGGUCCCCGGCCCCCAGGCGUGGGAGGAAGCUGGUAGCGCGCGGAGGUGCGGCGCGGCGAGGCAAGGCGAAACGUGGUGGGACGAAACGAAGCGAGACCAGGCGAAGAGAGGCGAAGAGAGGCGAAGAGAGGCGAAGAGAGGCGAAGAGCGGCGAGACGAGGCGAAGUCCACGCGGACAUAUAUGUACCCGCGCGAUGUGUGCGCACCUACCGCUUCUAUUCCGUUCUGUGUCGACGCGUCGACGUGUGUAUGUGGUAGCGUUCUCGCGCGCCGGUGUCCGUGUCCGCUGUUCGUCUGGGAACGAGCGCGACAGAGUCGGAGCACGCGCGCAAAAGGGAUCGAUGGCGCCGCGGCGAAGCUACCCGACCACUACUCCAUCGGAGCCACAUCGAGCGAAACGCUACUAUACGACCGAAGGAGAUACAGGAGUCGUCCACGCGCACACGUUCAGUUUCGCGCACGUACACGUGCGAUCGCGGAGAAAGAGAGAGAGAGAGAGAGAGAGAGUGCGUCAGGGACAAACCAACGGCGCGAGUCAAAGCGAGUUCGAACGAUGUAUGCGAGAUACGGCUCGAUGACGUACUAUGAGCAAGUGGAUGGAAGAGCGAGAGGCGGGACUUGUACCGCAGGGACGUAAACAAAGUCUCGAAUACCCCGAUGUAAACCUUACGUGUCGUCCUAUUUGAUGCUUUGUGGCUUAUUCGAUGUUUCAUCGCGAUCGUAAACGUAAAGCGAGUUAUUGAUAAAUCUGAAUCUGUUGUCUCACCUGUGCCCAAAUCCAGCCAUUAGGAAUAAAAAGCGGUUCAUCUGAAAAUACGAUCUCGAACUCGCGAUUACCACGGGGUUCGGACAGAGUUCGUUUGAAAAACGAUCGAGGGUAGAGAAGUUGAUAAAAGAUAAAAAUGGAAGAUGGAGGACGGGGCACGCGUGUGCGUGUAAAAAUACAAGCGGAAGCUAUACGACGUAUGUUGUACGAAUGUAAUGGAAGCAAAAAUGGGAAGAGAUAUACGUUGUGGCGCGUAUGUACGCGUAUAUGUACAUGUAUGCGUGUUGAUAUACAGAUAGAUAAUCUUAUACGCAUACGUGCGUAUAUAGUGCGCACGACCCCUUGAUAGUCGCGUUGCCUCCGUUCAUGUUUCAGCAUUGAGACGCGAUGACUCAAAAACAAGCGUGUACGUCGCAUCAACGUAUUAGUAUAGCGCGUGCAUCUAUCGUCGCCGAUGUACAUACGUAACUUCUUAUCUAGCCGUGCAUCGUUUCUCUAUUUAUUCGUUUGUUUUAUCCUCUGUUUACAACCCCUUAUUUCAACAUCUAUUCGAAUUCAAGCGCGGCAUUGAUCCUUGAAAUACGUAUUUUUGCACCCUAUCCAGAUGAAGAAAUUAGCGGAAAAAUGGACACUGUUCAAAUAUAUCGGUGUGCAAAUAGUUUUCGCAGCCAUUGAGACACUGUACGGUCAACGCUUUGUCGUACGGUCAGCAACGGAUGUAAUCGAUCCGAAGAAUCUCGAAAUUAAGUAUAAUAUAUUCAGCGACAGUCGAGCGUAACCUUAACCGUAUUAUACAAAUGAAAGAAAGAAUCGCAGCUGAAUAUCGUAUCGACCGAUUCAGCCGCGAUCUUGCGGUCGUUUGGCAAUCAACGAACAAAUUGUGCGUACAUUAUCGCCGAAGAUUACGACUGCAUCGCCAACCGGAGAAUAAUAAAAAUGUUCUAAUAUUUCGUCCAAGCCUGUACAACGACGACAACGACGACGACGUGGAAGAACUGGAUAAUACGCUCAAGGUUGUUUGCUCACGAGUGCGCUGCUUAUACGAGCGUUUCUGCAUCCACGUGAUAUCGCGAAAUACGCGAACGUUGUUCCGGCGUUUCGCCGGUUUCUUCGGUUACGCGUCGAAUCCGUCUCGAAAUCGAGUCGAAUUUGUUCGCCACUGACGUCCCUUUUCUACUGCCUCGCGCAUUCGGAAUUCCAACCGAUCCAUCCAUCCCUUCCUUUCGAAUCGUCCAAAAGAUAACAUUCGCGAGCGUAUAUGCGUAUAGGCGUCUAUGAAAGUGUUUCGAGACUCGUGAACGCAUAUCGCGAUUCGAUCGAGAUAAAGCUUUGUCAUCGUUACGAUUUCUUUCCGUGGUUAGAUGAACGAUAUCGUAAAUAAUUACGUAACAUCCCUGUAACCUAACGUUCCUCGAACGUACGAGUGUACUUGAGCGUAUUAACUCGGUAUAAUACUCGAUCGAUACCUAAAACGUAUUCGAACGAUUGGAUUAGUCUCGUGCAUGAGCGAAUCGAUGGAAAAUAAUUUUUCGACGAAUGUUACGCAAAUACAUCGGCCGAUUUACCUACAAAUGCGCAAUACAGCCUGCAGAAGCCGACCACUCGUUCAACUAUUGCAAACGUUCGAGUAAACACCUCUGAUUUGUUGCAUCGAUCCUAAGCGAUUAUGCACGGUUCAAGGCAUAUGGCAAACAGCGUGCACAUGUAGUAAUAUCUAUAUGUAACGCUGUUUCGACGGCGAGAGGUGUACCGAUACGAAGGAUACUUUAAUCGAUGUUCAAGGUUAAACGGCAGAAUUAUUAGCGCUCGCGCUUGUUGCGACACGAUCGCGGUUGCUCGUGCUCGUCUCGCGGUUCGACCAGUACCACGCCGAUAUGUAGACACAGUGUGUCGGCAUUUUGUGACGCAUAGCCGUUACAUAAUCGUUCAGCGUCGAGACGAGUCGCGCGUAGUAUAGGUCCUCGUGCUCGAUCAUCGCCGAUCCAAUUCGAAGAGUUCGUUGUUCGGCAAAUAUUCGAGCGAUUAAGAGAUUUGGCGAACAACGGCAGAAAGCAGCGAAUGAAAGAGGAGCGACGAAUAACACGGCAAAUUGUUCCAUUCGUAUACAGACGCUCUUAUCUCGCAGCCGUUAAAGGACAAUUGGAGAAAAUAAGUGGAAUAAGUCGAUGCGGGGACAUAUGAAAAAUGAAAAAGUCAAUUCGGUUGUUCGCGUUAUUCCGUGUCUUGGAAUCGCGCGACGUUCCGAUGUCGUCGUAUUUCGUAACCAAUAAGCUGGCAACAGCUCAGCAACGGUCACCGAUCGAACCAUCGUUAAUGAAAACUCUAAACAAUGGCCAAAGGAGGGACGAAGGAAUUUGCGUACGUAGCUUGAUCGCGAAAAUUAGUGCAUGCAUAAACGAGGUAACACGCACGCGCUUGCGCGCUACUCCACUCGAUCGAACUGCGCAACGGCACGAUGGAAUUUCACGAGGCAGAAACUGCGGUCGUACAAUUUCGAAACGUAUCUUGUCGUAAAUGAGCAAAUCCGCUUUUCAUCGAGCAUCUUUGCAACGCCAACGCGCUUCGACGUUUCUCCGUUCGUAAAACGAAAGAAAAGCUACCGCGAGUCGGACGUAUAAUUCGUUCGCGAUCUUCCUGGCAAACUUUGUAUCUCGAACGUAGGAAAUAUCGAUCGUUGAGAGAUAUCGACGUUGAGAGGAAAUGGCGAGGAGAAAAGCAACGGAUGGAACGUUCCUUGGCCGAAACGGUUGGCCCCUAAGCUAAAAUAAGCGGAAGUAAGCAGCACGAGCGCAUCUAAAUUUAGACGUGGACGUGUGCUCAUCGUUCGGCCUUUCGGCCUUUCGGCCAUUACGCUACUAGCUUGCUCGUUGCAUAUCUGGCCGAUGGGGGCUCGUGCUCCGGUUAACGUGGAAGCUUCGAUUCCAGCACCGACUUCGACAUUGACGUGCACGCAAUCCGGCCUGAGCAUUUUAGGCUGCAUGCAUAAUGGAUAUCCAAGAUCCCGCCGAGUUGUGGAAAACUGGUCCCAUUUGCAUUUCGACACAUCGUAUCUCCCUACCAUUAGGCUUGCCUUUCGGUAUUUCGACCAACACGCGAUAUCGAAGAAAAAGAACGCUCGCGUGUCAUAUUCUUGAUCCUAAUUUACGUAUUUGUUUAUUGCGACAGGUGGCAACCCCGUGGAUACAAAGCGGGACCUCCCAUAACGCGGCAGAUACGUAUUAUACGGGGCCCGUAUUACCCUGUUUCGUGUAAAAUCGUAAAAUUAUAAAAGAGAAAUCCGCAAUCUGCAAUUUCUCGCUUAUCGAUUCGCUAACGUUAUUGCUCGCUAAAUUACCGCGCAGAAGGGCCCGAGUUACUCGGAAGCAGCAAAAGGAUAUCGAGAAAACGUGACUAUCGAUGACUAGAAAGCAUGUUGUAAAUUCUAUGGAAAGGAUCGAUAGAAUCGUAAUUAGAGAUACAGAAGUUUAGCCUGAAACUAGAGUGGACAAGUUCUUGCGGCUUUUACCGAUACGAAGCAACUUUUACCACAAUGUCGCCGUAGUCCUCUCCUUUCUCGUUCGUCGAUCUCGACAAUUUUCGAUAAAAAAGGAGAAUGGUCUUUAAUAUCUGUCUCAACGGAGGGACAAUGGAUCGUCGCGAGGACGAUUCGGAAAAUUUGGUAUGCACGCAGCCUUAUCGUAGAUUCGGCGCGAAGGAUGGCUGACACGAAAGCCCGUAGUACAAGAUACGAACACGAAUCGGCCGGACCAGCUGACUGCCAAAACAGCUGCGGCGAUACACGCGAUGAUGGAUCAUUGCUUGCUCCGUUUCACUGGUUCGUCCUCUCUUCCGCUUCUCCUUUCCACUUCGACUCGACCUCUCGACUCGAUCGUACGACUCUAUGCGUUCAGCCAAUUCCCGCUUAAUUAGCCGACCUUCUUCUUUUCGUCGAUUACGCGUAUAUGCUAAAGAGAUCCAAAAGCGAACAAUCGACUCGUAACGUAACGCGAUACAUUAUUCCUGCGAUAAGGGGUUCAAAAUUCGCUCCUCUUCCACAUAGAUGUUACAACUUUAAGAAAUUCGAAGAAAAACACACCUUCUUAAGAAGGUAUAUGCUUAUAAUAAAUACUUAAAUAUAAAUAUACGUGUAUUUAAUAUAUAGAUAUAUAUAUUUGUAGCAAGCUAUCGCCUUGGUGUUUAAUCGGGAAAUUGACGUACGAUCUAUUUGAACGGAAUUUGAAAUGUUUCAAACUGAUUUUACCAACCGGGUAUGCUUUGCCUCUCUCUUUCGAGAACUAGCUGUUUUAUUUUUGGCCGCCUUACGUAAGGAACAACGUUCGGUCGACGAUCGAGGCGACAAACAGCGUUAAUCGUACCGUGCGAUUUUGCUGCUAAUCUCGAGGUACACUCCAAUUACUCUUUCUCAAGGUACGCGUAUCGAAGCAACUAUUGUUCCUUAAGGAAAAUACAAAUUGCUGUUCGCGUUGCAGAGUCACGCAGUGACGAAGAGAUAUUCGGUUUUCUGUACGCGAUAAAACGUUUGUUGUUCCAAAUAGAAAGUUACCGUUAUCCAAUCCUGACGAUGGAUAAAAAAAUUCAAAGGCCUUUUUCGUCUAUCUUUCUUACGAUUAACCAAUCGUCGCGUUGGCUUGGAGUCUGUCGGUGCCACGGAAAAAAUUGGUACGAGGAACGUAGACGAAUCGAGGAUAAAAACUAUCACGUUCCGUGGGAUAAAGCGAUACGCCGAAAAACCGACACCGGUGGACUAAUAGCUAGAGGAGAAGUACGGUCGCUGGAGCGUGCUCGCGAUACUCUGGUUCGUUAAUUUUUUCGUCGCUUUACGAUUCGAACGAAUUUACCCGAGAGUCGUUCGAGCCUCUCGGAAACCACAUCGAUCGAUACCAUAAAUCGAAAGUACGUUUCUCAAAUUUCCCUUAGAAUUUACCAUCGUUUCUGUCACGUUGCCACGGACGAUCUUGUACGAGUCGAUUCCAGCAGCUUUCAAGAGAUCCGUUUCUCACGGUUUCCUAUUCCUUUCCUUCAACGUUCUACCUUUUUCGAAUUAUCACAGCUAACGUCCGAGGAGCUCCGUACGAUGUACACGUUGCAACGAAUUGUGGUUGCGUCACGCGUAUAACACCUUCAAUGAAAUAUCGUAACGAAUAUGAUAUCCGAUAUCGUACACGGUAUCCUUGAAUUUAUAUAAUGUCCAUUCUUUCGUUAUUCGUUAAGGCUUCUUUCGUUCCCCUCUAUUCUCGCUUGUCGAUCCUUUUCACCCUCCCCCUUCCUCCUAUUUUCCCCUCCAUCCAUCCAUCUACGCGUCUAUCUGUUACUACACGUUACUUCUCGCACGACUCUUCCUACACGGUAGACGAAACGAUUGCGUAAGGAUUUCUUCGCUUUUGUAAAUAAUUGGACGGUGCUCGAGCGACUACUUCCAUCACCAAACGGCAAUACGGAAUUAUAUUCGUACAGAAACGUAGAAACUGCGGCCACUUUCGUCGCUCACUUUGACAGCCGACGAUUGUUCUCCCUAUCGACUUGCGUAUCUCAGGACGAACGACAUUUUUCCAUACAGCCUAUUGCAUAAAUAUAGAAAGACGCUAGUCAUCGGAGAAGUAUUUCCGAACGACGAGUCGAGUCGAUGAAUGGAGGAAGGAGCACGGGGGUAGUUCGAGUCGCUCGACCGACAGCGAUCGAACGCCGAUAGAGAGAGGAAAUAGACGGAGAAUAAUGACGUUCGUUGCGGAGAAUAAUUUUCAAGAGACGACAAAAAAUAUUUAAUUGCUGUCAGUAGGAUCAAGCUGUUCGUUUCGAUUCACGCUUCGGAUAUUUGCGGAGCUUUGUUUCGUCGACAGUAUGUACAGCGGCUUAAAUAUACGUCGCUAAUGGCACGGAACCGAAGAUACAAAGGGUUGCUCGCUACUGCUACCGUUCUUACUAUUACCGCCACUGCUGCUGGAUGCUGGGCGUGUUUAUUUAUAAUUUGACCAUGGUCAAGAAAGGAACGAUCGAAUCGGUGGAAGCUAAAGAUCGACUUUCAAAGCGGACAAAGUUACUCGAACGAUGCGAAGAAUGCAAUCUUUUAUAAAUAAGGAAAUAAGAUAAAGCUGCACGACGUAACACGCAACACGCUCGAAAGACCCAAAGAAUGCGUCCUUUUAUAAAUAAGAAAGUAAAAAAAGCUUGUACAUGGUACGCAACAUGCGUAAAAACAUCGAAAGAGUAAUCGAGCGAUAGGUGAUAAACAAAUUGCACGUACAGAGGCUCGCGAAAGUAUUCAAACAGUCGUAGAAACGUAGAGACAUGACGUGUUUAAAAUACGAAAAAUUUUGAAAUUUUAUCGGUUCCGUAACGAAACGCGACUAAUAAUCAAAUAUUUUUACGAAUUUUAAUUUUCUAUGGCGAGCGUUCGAACGUUUUCGUGCGCCAGCGUACACGCGCGUAACGACGGCCGAAAGUCCCUUUGCGUUGCGCGAAUACGAUGUACGAAGAGCAACAUUGCAGGUCACUGCAAUGCGGCUGAUGGUGGCAGUUGGUCAAUAGGCAACCAGCCAAUUCCGAUCGAAUUUAAAUAAGCCCUUGUGCCAUUUUGCACUGUCAGCUCCGAGUAUAACGUUGCUAAAGAAACCUUUCUUCGCUUAAUCCACGGAGCGUGCUCGCUACGCGAUACACACGACGAACGAUCCAACGCAGCGCCACGUUGAUCGAUGACCUGAGAUCGAGAGAUCGAGGAUCGAAGAUCAAACGCGACACGAGUCGCGUACGUCUGUACGCUCGAUUAAUAAACUCGUCUAACAUUGCCGGAUCGACAAUUUGAAACCAUUGUAAUUUCGAUUAAAUCUUCGCACCGUUUCGGUAUUAUCGAAGAUUCGCUUUAUGAUUAAUUUAAGAUUCGCUGUAAAUAAAUUUUGAAACGCAGCGUGCGCUUGCGCGAUACCGAGCCGCUUACCA
rnacentral:lncRNA from 1 species